rnacentral:rRNA from 1 species
AUUGAACGCUGGCGGCAUGCCUUACACAUGCAAGUCGAACGGCAGCACGGGAGCAAUCCUGGUGGCGAGUGGCGAACGGGUGAGUAAUAUAUCGGAACGUGCCCAGUCGUGGGGGAUAACGCAGCGAAAGUUGUGCUAAUACCGCAUACGAUCUAUGGAUGAAAGCGGGGGAUCGCAAGACCUCGCGCGAUUGGAGCGGCCGAUAUCAGAUUAGGUUGUUGGUGAGGUAAAAGCUCACCAAGCCUGCGAUCUGUAGCUGGUCUGAGAGGACGACCAGCCACACUGGAACUGAGACACGGUCCAGACUCCUACGGGAGGCAGCAGUGGGGAAUUUUGGACAAUGGACGAAAGUCUGAUCCAGCAAUGCCGCGUGCAGGACGAAGGCCUUCGGUUGUAACGUAGUCUUUGUUACAGAACGAAAAGUACUUUAAUAACACUAGAGGCUCAUGACGGUACUGUAAGAAUAAGACACCGGCUAACUACG